rnacentral:lncRNA from 1 species
CCAGCUUUUCCAGUCUGAGUCACUUCAUUAUAUAUCAUCAUUAUUGCCUUUCACUUGCACGAUCGAAUGAUGUGAACAAUAAUAAGCAUGGUCGUGCAAUGGACUAAGCUGAAUCUGCUGGCAAACACAAAGGAGAAGACAAAGUAAUAUGGCUCUUUGAAAGCUAAACAGGUAUGCAUGCAAGAGCCACUAAACAUUGUAACCAAUAUCUUCU